GAUGAACGCUGGCGGCGUGCCUAAUGCAUGCAAGUCGAGCGAACGGAUGAGAAGCUUGCUUCUCUGAUGUUAGCGGCGGACGGGUGAGUAACACGUGGAUAACCUACCUAUAAGACUGGGAUAACUUCGGGAAACCGGAGCUAAUACCGGAUAAUAUUUUGAACCGCAUGGUUCAAAAGUGAAAGACGGUCUUGCUGUCACUUAUAGAUGGAUCCGCGCUGCAUUAGCUAGUUGGUAAGGUAACGGCUUACCAAGGCAACGAUGCAUAGCCGACCUGAGAGGGUGAUCGGCCACACUGGAACUGAGACACGGUCCAGACUCCUACGGGAGGCAGCAGUAGGGAAUCUUCCGCAGUGGGCGAAAGCCUGACGGAGCAACGCCGCGUGAGUGAUGAAGGUCUUCGGAUCGUAAAACUCUGUUAUUAGGGAAGAACAUAUGUGUAAGUAACUGUGCACAUCUUGACGGUACCUAAUCAGAAAGCCACGGCUAACUACGU
rnacentral:rRNA from 1 species